rnacentral:rRNA from 1 species
GACGAACGCUGGCGGCGUGCUUAACACAUGCAAGUCGAACGGAAAGGCCCUGCUUUUGUGGGUUGCUCGAGUGGCGAACGGGUGAGUAACACGUGCGUAACCUGCCCUUGACUUUGGGAUAACUUCAGGAAACUGGGGCUAAUACCGGAUAGGAGCUCCUGCUGCAUGGUGGGGGUUGGAAAGUUUCGGCGGUUGGGGAUGGACUCGCGGCUUAUCAGCUUGUUGGUGGGGUAGUGGCUUACCAAGGCUUUGACGGGUAGCCGGCCUGAGAGGGUGACCGGCCACAUUGGGACUGAGAUACGGCCCAGACUCCUACGGGAGGCAGCAGUGGGGAAUAUUGCACAAUGGGCGGAAGCCUGAUGCAGCAACGCCGCGUGCGGGAUGACGGCCUUCGGGUUGUAAACCGCUUUCGCCUGUGACGAAGAGUGAGUGACGGUAAUGGGUAAAGAAGCACCGGCUAACUACGUG